UGUCUUGGCUAAUGUGUCUUGGCUAAUGUGUCUUGGCUAAGGUGUCUUGGCUAAGGUGUCUUGGCUAAGGUGUCUUGGCUUAUGUGUCUUGGCUAAGGUGUCUUGGCUAAUGUGUCUUGGCUAAGGUGUCUUGGCUAAUGUGUCUUGGCUAAUGUGUCUUGGCUAAGGUGUCUUCGCUAAUGUGUCUUGGCUAAGGUGUCUUGGCUAAUGUGUCUUGGCUAAUGUGUCUUGGCUAAGGUGUCUUGGCUAAGGUGUCUUGGCUAAGGUGUCUCGACUAAUGUGUCUUGGCUAAGGUGUCUUGGCUAAUGUGUCUUGGCUAAGGUGUCUUGGCUAAGGUGUCUUGGCUAAGGUGUCUUGGCUAAUGUGUCUUGGCUAAUGUGUCUUGGCUAAUGUGUCUUGGCUAAGGUGUCUUCGCUAAUGUGUCUUGGCUAAGGUGUCUUGGCUAAUGUGUCUUGGCUAAUGUGUCUUGGCUAAUGUGUCUUAACUAAGGUGUCUUCGCUAAUGUGUCUUGGCUAAGGUGUCUUGGCUAAGGUGUCUUGGCUAAGGUGUCUUGGCUAAUGUGUCUUGGCUAAGGUGUCUUCGCUAAGGUGUCUUGGUUAAGGUGUCUUGGCUAAUGUGUCUUGGCUAAUGUGUCUUGGCUAAGGUGUCUUGGCCUAGAUGUCUUGGCUAAUGUGUCUUGGCUAAGGUGUCUUGGCUAAGGUGUCUUGGCUAAUGUGUCUUGGCUAAUGUGUCUUGGCUAAUGUAACUUGGCUAAGGUGUCUUGGCUAAGGUGUCUUGGCUAAGGUGUCUUGGCUAAUGUGUCUUGGCUAAUGUGUCUUGGCUAAGGUGUCUUGGCUAAUGUGUCUUGGCUAAGGUGUCUUGGCUAAGGUGUCUUGGCUAAGGUGUCUUGGCUAAUGUGUCUUGGCUAAGGUGUCUUGGCUAAUGUGUCUUGGCUAAUGUGUCUUGGCUAAUGUGUCUUGGCUAAGGUGUCUUGGCAAAUGUGUCUUGGCUAAUGUGUCUUGGCUAAGGUGUCUUGGCUAAUGUGUCUUGGCUAAUGUGUCUUUACUAAUGUGUCUUGGCUAAUGUGUCUUGGCUAAUGUGUCUCGGCUAAUGUGUCUUGGCUAAUGUGUCUUGGCUAAUGUAUCUUGGCUAAUGUGUCUUGGCUAAUGUGUCUUGGCUAAUGUGUCUUGGCUAAUGUGUCUUGGCUAAUGUGUCUUGGCUUAGGUGUCUUGGCUAAUGUGUCUUGGCUAAGGUGUCUUCGCUAAUGUGUCUUGGCUAAGGUGUCUUGGCUAAUGUGUCUUGGCUAAUGUGUCUUGGCUAAUGUGUCUUGGCUAAUGUGUCUUGGCUAAGGUGUCUUCGCUAAUGUGUCUUGGCUAAGGUGUCUUGGCUAAUGUGUCUUGGCUAAGGUGUCUUGGCUAAUGUGUCUUGGCUAAGGUGUCUUGGCUAAGGUGUCUUGGCUAAGGUGUCUUGGCUAAGGUGUCUUGGCUAAUGUGUCUUGGCUAAUGUGUCUUGGCUAAUUUGUCUUGGCUAAGGUGUCUUGGCUAAGGUGUCUUGGCUAAUGUGUCUUGGCUAAUGUUUCUUGGCUAAUGUGUCUUGGCUAAGGUGUCUUCGCUAAUGUGUCUUGGCUAAGGUGUCUUGGCUAAGGUGUCUUGGCUAAUGUGUCUCGGCUAAUGUGUCUUGGCUAAUGUGUCUUGGCUAAUGUGUCUUGGCUAAGGUGUCUUGGCUAAGGUGUCUUGGCUAAUGUGUCUUGGCUAAUGUGUCUCGGCUAAUGUGUCUUGGCUAAAGUGUCUUGGCUAAUGUGUCUUGGCUAAUGUGUCUUCGCUAAUGUGUCUUGGCUAAGGUGUCUUGGCUAAGGUGUCUUGGCUAAUGUGUCUCGGCUAAUGUGUCUUGGCUAAUGUGUCUUGGCUAAUGUGUCUUGGCUAAUGUGUCUUGGCUAAGGUGUCUUGGCUAAUGUGUCUUGGCUAAUGUGUCUUGGCUAAUGUGUCUUGGCUAAAGAGUCUUGGCUAAGGUGUCUUGGCUAAGGUGUCUUGGCUAAGGUGUCUUGGCUAAGGUGUCUUGGCUAAUGUGUCUUGGCUAAUGUGUCUUGGCUAAUGUGUCUUGGCUAAGGUGUCUUGGCUAAGGUGUCUUGGCUAAGGUGUCUUGGCUAAUGUGUCUUGGCUAAUGUUUCUUGGCUAAUGUGUCUUGGCUAAGGUGUCUUCGCUAAUGUGUCUUGGCUAAGGUGUCUUGGCCAAGGUGUCUUGGCUAAUGUGUCUCGGCUAAUGUGUCUUGGCUAAUGUGUCUUGGCUAAUGUGUCUUGGCUAAUGUGUCUUGGCUAAGGUGUCUUGGCUAAUGUGUCUUGGCUAAUGUGUCUUGGCUAAUGUGUCUUGGCUAAAGUGUCUUGGCUAAGGUGUCUUGGCUAAGGUGUCUUGGCUAAGGUGUCUUGGCUAAGGUGUCUUGGCUAAUGUGUCUUGGCUAAUGUGUCUUGGCUAAUGUGUCUUGGCUAAGGUGUCUUCGCUAAUGUGUCUUGGCUAAUGUGUCUUGGCUAAGGUGUCUUGGCUAAUGUGUCUUGGUUAAUGUGUCUUGGCUAAGGUGUCUUGGCUAAUGUGUCUUGG